UACAGAGGGGGCAAGCGUUAUUCGGAAUCACUGGGCGUAAAGGGCGUGUAGGCGGUUCGGUAAGUGGAAUGUGAAAUCCCCCGGCUUACCCGGGGAACUGCAUCCCAUACUGCUGGACUUGAGUGCGGGAGAGGAUGGAGGAAUUCCUGGUGUAGCGGUGAAAUGCGUAGAUAUCAGGAGGAACACCGGUGGCGAAGGCGGUUCUCUGGGCCUGUACUGACGCUGAGGAGCGAAAGCGUGGGGAGCGAACAGG
rnacentral:rRNA from 1 species